rnacentral:lncRNA from 1 species
CAGACACCGGCGGCCGCUCUACUUCGCCGGGCUGUUUCAGCACCCCGCGCAAGAAGAGCGGAGGAGCAGGAGCAGGCGCGGACGCCAGCAGCAAGCUGCGCGCGCAGGUCAGGAAGGAAGAAGGCGUCGUCGGCUCCGCCCCUUCUGGGAGGUGCCGUUGCCGGCGCUCCCUGCCCAGGACUGGGGCGGGGCCAGGGCCGCCGCGCCCUCGCUUCAAGGUUCCCUGCUUUGCCCUUCUCCUCAGCCCCUGCAAUCCUCGGGGGCCAGGCGCGGGACUUAUGGAGUCUGGCUGGGCCCAGGAGAGUUAUCUGUGGAGCUGUGCAAACAGUUUCUGGCCGUGAUGUUUCCCCUUUUCGUCUGUGGGUUGGAGGGGGCGGACGAGGUUUCAGCGAAGGGUAGAGCUGUUCUGGGCGACUUCCGGGCUCCAGCUCCUGGUGCCCCCACUGAGGAUCAAAUCGCGUGUAUGCCUUCAUGCAGGGAGCUUCAAACGGCCAUCCCUAGACCAGCAGAGGAGCAUCUCCUUGGAAUUUGUUAGAAAUGUAAAUUCUCAGCCCGGGCAAUGUAGCAAGACUCCCUCUAUAAAAAAAAAAAAAAAAAAAAAAAAAAAUUGUAAAGUUAGUUGGGCUUGGUGGCACACACCUGUAGUCUCAGCUACUAGGGAGGCUGAGGCAGGAGGAUUGCUUGAGCCCAGGAGGCUAUGGUGAGCUAUGAUCAUGCUGCUGCACUCCAGCCUGGGUGAUAGAACAAGACCCUGUCUCAAAGAGAGACAGAGAAAGAGAGAAGAAAAUGUUAGAGUAGUUAUUUCCAAGUUUAUGAAUUACUUUGAAGGUUCUAAGUUUCCAUAACCCUGCUUGGGGAAGAAGAAUUCUGGUUCCUGUGACUUACUUCGGGGUGCAAGCGGGCUGGAGACAGGAGGGCAGGAGAAGGUCAUGGGUAGACUUUGUUUCUGAGGCUGCUUCUGAGACCUUCCAGUCUCCUUUAGUUCAAAGUACUUAGCAUGCCAAAGCCUCCUACUUUGGGGUACUGUUUUCUGAGCUCCAGUGGUUGAGAUCUGGAGACUUUUUUGUUUGUUGAAAGAAUAUUAAAUACCAUCUUCAUAAGGACUAUUCAAUGUUGACCUCAGAGCAAUAAAGUAGAAAACAGGGAAAAAUGAAAUUAUUAG